rnacentral:rRNA from 1 species
CACGUAGGGUGCGAGCGUUGUCCGGAAUUAUUGGGCGUAAAGAGCUCGUAGGCGGUGUGUCGCGUCGGCCGUGAAAACCUGCAGCUUAACUGUGGGCUUGCGGUCGAUACGGGCAUCACUGGAGUUCGGCAGGGGAGACUGGAAUUCCUGGUGUAGCGGUGAAAUGCGCAGAUAUCAGGAGGAACACCGGUGGCGAAGGCGGGUCUCUGGGCCGACACUGACACUGAGAGACGAAAGCUAGGGGAGCGAAUGGG